CCUACGGGCGGCUGCAGUGGGGAAUAUUGGACAAUGGGGGCAACCCUGAUCCAGCCAUGCCGCGUGUGUGAAGAAGGCCCUCGGGUUGUAAAGCACUUUCAGUGAGGAAGAACGCCUGGUGGUUAAUACCCAUCAGGAAAGACAUCACUCACAGAAGAAGCACCGGCUAACUCCGUGCCAGCAGCCGCGGUAAUACGGAGGGUGCGAGCGUUAAUCGGAAUUACUGGGCGUAAAGCGCGCGUAGGUGGCUUGAUAAGCCGGUUGUGAAAGCCCCGGGCUCAACCUGGGAACGACAUCCGGAACUGUCAAGCUAGAGUGCAGGAGAGGAAGGUAGAAUUCCCGGUGUAGCGGUGAAAUGCGUAGAGAUCGGGAGGAAUACCAGUGGCGAAGGCGGCCUUCUGGACUGACACUGACACUGAGGUGCGAAAGCGUGGGUAGCAAACAGGAUUAGAUACCCUUGUUAGUC
rnacentral:rRNA from 1 species